rnacentral:RNase_P_RNA from 1 species
ACGUUCGGGUAAUCGCUGCAACCUUUGAGGUUGUAGAGGAAAGUCCAUGCUCACACGGUGCUGAGAUGCCCGUAGUGUUCGUGCCUAGUGAAUAAAUAAGCUAGGGCAGUUCGGUGAAAGUCCGAUUGACGGCAGGGAAAAUACCUAAGUCGAUGAGAUAUGGUAUGAGUACCUUGAAAGUGCCACAGUGACGGAGCUUUAUAAGAAAUUAUAAAGGUGGAACGAGGUAAACCCCACGAGUGAGCAACCCAAAUUUAGGUAGGGGCAUCUUCUUUAAGGAAAUGAACGAUAAGAAGGGCGGAUGCUAAUGAAGGCAUUCGGAGAUAGAUGAUUACCACCGGAGUACAAGAUCUCCCAGAUCGCUUGCAGUACGAUGGAACAAAACAUGGCUUACAGAA